rnacentral:lncRNA from 1 species
GGAGUCUGGGCGGGUAGCUCCGAUACCUGACUUUUGAGAACCUCUGGUGGUUUUGUGUGGAGGCGGACAGCCAAGCCAUCAGGAGGAGACUUCUUUUGUCCACAGCGGCACAGCCUCUCCUUCUCCUGGACACAGCUGGUUUGGACCACACGAGGGCGCCACGUACUCUUGAGUGAGCUCAAGUCUGGAGAUCUUUGCAUCCAGGAUCUCAGCAUCUCCACGUAAACCCUCCACAGGAGAUCCCCAUGUGUACUUAGCCUCUGCCAGCCUUGAUUUCCCUUCCUGAAAAAAAUCAGCAGAAUGCUAGCUCCUAAGUCACAGGUUUGUUGUAAAGAUUAAAAAAUCAUCACAUGUUGGGAGUUCCCAUUGUGGCGCAGCAGAAACAAAUCUGACUAGGAACCAUGAGGUUGCGGGUUCGAUCUGUGGCCUUGCUCAGUAGGUUAAGGAUCGGCGUUGCUGUGAGCUGUGGUGUAUGUAGGUCACAGACGUGGCUCGAGUCUGGUGUUGCUGGGGCUGUGGUGUAGGUCGGCAGCUAUAGCUCUGAUUUGACCCCUAGCCUGGGAACCUCUAUAUGCCGCGGGUGAGGCCCUAAAAAAAAAAAUCACAUGUAAAGUUUAAAAAGCACAGUGCCAGGCAUGUAAUAAGCACUCAGUAAAUGAUCCCUACCAUCAUCACACCCAUAUCAUCACCAAAACCAUCCAUAAUACUACCACAGUUGUCAUUAUCAUCAUCACCAUCACCACCAUCAUUGGCAACGUCAUCAUCAUCAGCAGCAACAACACUGUCACCAUCAUGGUCAUAGCCAUUAUCAUUGUCACCAUCAUCACUGCUAUGGAUUAAAUUAUGUCUCCCUCCAAAUUCAUAUAUUGAAGCCCUAACCCUCACUAUCUGAAGAUAGGGUCUUUUGGAAGUAAUUAAGGUUAAAUGAAGUCAUAAGAGUGGGACCUUAGAGACAAAGGUCUCCCCAGGCACGCUCAGAGGAAAGGCCAUGCGAGGACAAAGCAGCCAUCUACAAGUCCGGAAGAGAGCUCACCAGAAACUGAGCCCGUCAGAACCUUGAAAUUGGACUUUCCAGCCUCUAGAACUGUGAGAAAAGAAAUUUCUAUUGUUUAAGCCACAUAGUCUAUGGUAUUUUGCCACAGCAGCCUGAACAGACAUCCACCAUCACCAUCAUCACUGUCAUCAGUAUCAUCACCAGCAUCAUCAUCACUAGAAUCAACAUCAUCAUCACCAUCAUCAUCAGUAUCACCAUCAUCAUUAGCAUCAUCAUCAGUAUCAACAUUAUCAUCAUCGCCAGGAGCAGAAGCAGUACCAUCAUCAUCAACACCAACAUCAGUGACACCAUCCUCAUCAGUAUCAGCAACAUCAUCACCUUCAUUGUUACAGGUCAGAUGCCCAGAAAACCAACUCUGAGGUGGAAGUCAGCAUGCAGGGUAUCUAUUCAGGAAUGUUCCUGGGAUCAACACUUGUGGAAGGCUGGUUAAGAAAGCUGGACUGAGCAGAGGGAGAAGACGGGCAGUGGUGUAGCCCCAACAAAAACUUCUGUUGAUCCCAUGGGGAGCUCUAAAUCUGAAGGCUGCUCAGAGUUGUCCGGCAUCCACCCCAUCAUUUACAAUCUCUAUCACCAUAUUGGGUUUGAGACUUCAUCGUCUUACUCUUUUUUUCCAAAGGGGACUUGCAUCUUACAAGAAGAGGAGCCAAAAGCAGAGCUUACCACCAAUGAGUCAAUCAUUAAUGGUGGAAUUCCAAGCAUCCGCUGGGCUUACAAGCUGGGGGCAAAGGAGCUUUGCGGGAGCUUCUCACACCAUUCUGUUUGCCCUUCAGCCCUAGAUUCUCACUCAUUUUCCCAGCACAGCAGGGCCCCUGGGGACCAUUUCCCUUCGAGUAGGAGCUCAUCCAUUCCAACCCCAAAGGCCUGGGCCAGCAUGGCCCUGCUUCCUGGCAAGUCUCCUUGGGCGCCCGCCGGGAUCCGAGUCUCCUCUUGACCUUUCCCACUCCUUUCCCUAAGAAGCCGAACCAGAGGACAAUCUGCUCGUGCAGACAAGUCCUUUUCCAGCUGAGCUAGAACAGAGGGCCUCAAGGGACAGAGCCUGGGUCAGGGACGCCUGCUCGAAGUGGCUGUGGAUAAACGCAGGCCUCUCCCAUUUGUUCUUCUCUGACAGUCAGCCUGGGAGGAGCUGCUACAGGAUGAAAUCAAAUCACAUGGAUGAAGUACCCAGGACAGCCUGGCACACAGGAGGUGCUUACUAAAUGCUCAUUCAUCCACAGGACAGGCCCUUAGGCGGCACCACAGGGCAGGAGAAGGGGUCGUAGGAGGGCAGCUUGCCCACUGAGCCUCUCUCUGACCUCCAAGGCCUUGCCCGUCCCCUUUUCGCCUCACUCAGCCCACUGGCCUCCCUGCCGUCCCUAAUAUUCACCAACUCAUUCCCACCCCAGGGCCUUUGCACUGGCUGGCCCCUCUUCCCAGAACUUCCCAGGGCUGCCUCCUGCUUCAAAUGCCAUUUCCCCUUCAGAUGUUUCCCACACACACACACACCCCAUUCACCCUGGCAUCACACUAUUCAUAUUAUUAUUUUGUUUAUUAUUUUGGGGGGGACCACACCCAUGGCAUGUGGAAGUUCCCGGGCCAGGGAUCAAACCCACACCACACCAGCAACCCAAGCCACAGCAGUGACAACACCAGAUCCUUAACCUGCUGAACCACCAGGGAAGUCCACACCAUUCACAUUCUUCACAGAGCAUAACGCUCUGGAUUUCUCUUGCUCGGGAAGAGCGUGUUCAGGAUUCUCUGAAGCCUAGAACAGUAACCGCGUACAAUACAGGAGGUGGUGCCAAAGGCUUGUGCUGACCCCAGUUCCUGGAAAAAGCAUGGAGGUGAGAGACGCUUUCCUUACUCUCUGGGCAAGCCUCUCUCCCUCUCUGUAUUUGCAGUUCCUCUGUCUGCAAAAUGAGGGGACUGGACCCGAUGAAUCCAUCUUCCCUUCCAGCUCAAACAAAAAGAUUCCACAUCCUUGGAUAACUUUGCCUUGGAGCCCAUAACCCAUUCACGCCAGAACAUGAUUCAUCUCUGCCGAUUCUGCCUAGCAACCAGCCCUUCUCCCAACACCCCAGACCGAAUCCCCCCCUCCCCAGGACAAAUUCCUCCCCCACCACAGACACGCCCGCCUGGAGAGGAAUGCGAGGCUUCAAGAUCCUCCCCUGUCUGUCUGCCACCAGCAUUUUAACGCAACCUCAGAAUGUCUCGGGCUAUGUCUGGAACACGCUGGGGGGAGCUGGUCCCCCCGGGAUUAGGACCGGAAAUGGCAGCAGAAGUCAGGCAGGCAGAAAGUGCUGACCCAGCUCGGGGAGAUCAUUUCCAUUCUGAUGCCUCGCCCUCCUCUCGUGUUCAGCUCCUGGGGCCUGGAAAAGUAUCUGUGUUUUGGGGAGAGAGAAGGAAGGGCCAGGGGAAGGGACGAGAGAGCAGAGUUCCCUGCAGGAGACAAAAUCAGUUCAUUCAGGUCCUCCAAGGGAAGGCUUCAGCCAGUGCCCCAUGGUGAGAGAAAAAACCAUCUCAUCUUAGGAGAUGCUGGAAAGCAUCUGAUAUACUUCAAUACCCAUGUGCGAUGCAAAAAUCUUGGCAACCUAAGAAUAGAAAGGAAUUUCCUCAACUGGAAGAAAAGGACAUUUACCAGAAAACUACAGCAAACAGCGUGCCCGUGGGAAAAAUUUGGAAGAACUCCCAUGAAGAUUAGGAACAAGACAAGGAUGUUCACCACCACGACCACCACCUCCACCAUCACCUCCUCCACCCACAUCAUGACCCACAUCAUGACCCCCUCCUCCCCAUCACUUCCACCAUCACCAUCAUCACCUCUACCACCACCAUUACCAACUCCACCAUCAUGACCACCUCCUCAUCACCUCCACCACAUCACCUCUACCACCACCAUCAUGACCACCUCCUCCACCUCCUCCACCACCACCACCACCACCAUCAUCAUGACCACCUCCUCCCCAUCACUUCCACCACCAACUUCACAACCACUUUAUCACCACCUCCACCACCAACAUCACUCCUCUUCCACCGCCAUCAUCCCUGCCUGUACCACCACCAUCACACAAAAACCAAGUAAAGUGAAGGGCGCAGCAAGGAAGUGAUGAAACAGUCACUCAUGGAUGGAUGGAUCAUCUACCUUCUUGAAUGAAUACUGACAGAGGGAGGUCACCUGGGCUGGAGACCUGCCUUGGCCAUUCCCUUUUUGGGUGACUCUGGAUCUCACUUUCCUCAGUUGUAGCUGGAGUGGUAGGACUAUACCAAGUGUGUGCAAACUGUGAGCCCGAGGGGCCCCUGCAGAGGGGGAGGGGACAACAGGUGCCCUUUGGGUAUCCCACCCCCCUUCCAGGAUGCAUCACUGCUUUCAUUUAAUUUAGGAUUCCUCGGAAGGGUUUAUUUGAACAAAGGAUUUUGUGGCUCAAGAAAAUUGAAAAUCGGUGGACACCCAACCAAUGUAGGUGGAAACAAAGGAUAGAAAAGGUGAUUCAGAGAGGCAAUCUGUAAGGUUAAAACCCCUUUCUCACCAGUAAUCAGGGAACCAUAAUGAAAAUAAUAGAACAGCAUGUAUCAUCUAUUUAACUGGAAACACACAAUGCUGUCAAGGAUGUGGGGAAACAGAACCACUCUUAGACCACGAUAGGUAUGGAAACUGGCGACACAUUUUGGAAGAGUCUUUUGGCAGCCCCUCGGAAAAUGCCACACUUGUACCCUCUGCCUUGGCAAGCCCUGCCCCACUCCCCUCAGGACCCGGCAGGCAGGAGUGAACCAUGCAUCUGUAAAGACACCCAUGUGCAGGAUGGCCUGGGAAACUUGUGAUGUCACAAGGGUCCUCCAGCUCUGCCAUCUGUGAUCUCCCUUCCUGAACUCACCCAGGGCCCGCUCUGCCCCCACACCUGACCCAGAGGCACUCUGAGCUGGCUCACUCCAUUCUGGGGGGUGCCUGACAACCCCGUGAGCGGAAGUCUGGGCCCACACCUUAAACAGGUAACUCCCAGGUGUGAGUCCACCGAGCCAGGGACGCCCUUCCCCCUCACACAAGGCAGACCACAGACCACCAGGAGGAGCUGCCAGGCCAGAGCUGGGACCUGAGCCCUCCCCGCUCCUCACCCACCAUGGGACCUGUCACCUUACUCCUGGGUUCCCCCUUCCGCCGAGAAUUCACUGAGCAGGUGCGCUUUCCUCCUCCCACACAGCAAAGCUCAUCAAACCAACUUUGGAGUGAUUUUUCACAUGGAAUCAUUUAUGCGAAAAGCAACCUGGAAAAUAGUACAGUAGUUGUUACGUCCAGACCUCUGCCCCAAGGCCAGUUCUCAAUGAGCAUCCUCUCACUGGACCAGCCACCGUCUCUUAAGCCCUCCCACACUGAUGGGCAUGUAAGCAGCGUCCCUUUGUUUCACUUAUUCUAAACAAUGCUGGGAGUUCCCAUGUGGCUCAGUGGGUUAAGACCCCAACUAGUAUCCAUGAGGAUGCGGGUUUAAUCCCUGGCCUCACUCAGUGGGUUAAGGAUCUGGCGUUGCCGCAAGCUGCAGCAUAGGUCACAGAUGCCGCUGGGAUCUGGCAGGGCCUGUGGCUGUGGUGUAGACAUGCAGCUGCAGCUCAGAAUCGACCCCUAGCCAGGAAACUUCCAUAUGCCACAGGUGCAGCCUUAAUAACAAAAAAAUAAAUAAACAACACUAGCACAAACAUCCUUGCAGGCCCAUCUCAGAGCCCACCCACAGGUGUUUCUGUAAGCAGUUUCCAGGAAAGAAUUUAUGGAGCAAAGGACAAGGACACAGACAACCUUGGUGGAUGUUGCCAUAGGACCCUUCAAAAGGCCUCCCCCCACCAUCUGAUCCAAACCAGACAGCGCAGAGAUCAGAUCUGGACAAAGACGAAAUGUUCUUAUCCUGUGAGAGGUCAUGGGAAAAAAUUCAGAAGUGUUUCGAACUGGCUGCCCAAUGGCUGGCCCAGUCCCUCCAGCCAGAGCUGUGAGGAAAUCCACCCAUAAGCCCAGCCUGCUCAACUUAUGUUGUUAGUUGCAAGAAGGGGCUUCCUGACCGUGAGGGUUUGCUCAGACGCUGGAGACAUGGUCAGAGGAGCUGGGAGAAUUUUCCUGAGGUCUCUUAACAUGGGAGAUUAACCACCCUGGGAUGGAUUCGAAGGGACCAAAAAGCCAGGUUCUCCCAAGAUCCUGUUGCCCAAAAAUUGAGUGAUUCUUUUUUCUGCAAGAAAAAUGGCCUCCAGCAGCCCUUUUCCCAGCUGCUGACAAUAACGCCUCACACAGGAAUCACAUCUGAGGCCCAUGAGCUGGCUGAAACCCAGAGCAAGCCUCCCUUUUCCUUUGUGGAAGAGGCAGCUGAGACCCAGGGAGGGUGAGCGACUUGCCCCAGGCGGCACAGCUAGAGAGAGGGCAGAGCUGACCUCCACUGUGGGACUCCGGGUCCAGGGCCGGUGCCUACAUGGUCCCCCACCUCCAAGUUCAUACCUCUGGAGGGCCCAGGGCUGUGGGCUUGACCCCAGACCCAGUGGCAUCUCAGCGUCUGCGAUGAGCAGUGUCCUGGGCAGAGCUAAGCCUUGGAGUCCAAUGGACUGGCUUGAUCACUCACCGGCCAUGUGACCUCGCAGGCGCCUUGGGUCACCUGCUGGGUGGUGGUGCGAGGGGCUGGGAGGCCCGCUCCCACAGGCCGGAGUCCCCGCCCCAGGAAAGGUACGCGCAGGCGCUGUUUGCGAGGAGGCGGGGCCUGAUCCCGUGGUCCGUAGUGUCCAAAGCUCUCUUUGCUGCCUUUCCACGGCGCAGACCCAGACAGUGGAACACCCAGCAGCUGUGAUGACGUCCCUGCCACCACCUCUAGGGUCACAUGGAAGUUUGGACACAGUGGCCUCUGGCCCCCUCCUCCAACCCCAUUAUCCUGCAUGCAUGGAUUCAUUCACUCAUGAAUAGCCUCGCAGGCAGCGUGGAGCUGUGGUUAGGGCACUAGCUGUGGGAUCCAACAAGCCCAGGAGGUUCAAAGCCCAGCUGGAGCUCUUUCUGGCUGUGUGACCUUGGGCAAGUCGCUAGGCCUCUCUGAGCUUCCAUGCCUUCCUCUGCAUAAGGUGGAUAACAUCCCUGCCUCCUCAGCUUUGUGAGGAUCCAGUAUAGAGUAUAGAGAAAAGUGCUUGGUGCCUUGCUUGCCGCACUGGGGGCACAGAAGAAGUGAUGGGAAGAUCCCCUCGUGGAGAGAUUUAAACCUUGAGGAAGCACAGAGGUGAGAGGCCUGGAUCCUCAGAGGGGUUUCAAAAAGCAUUUUCUCAUCCUGACCUCGUAGAGGACAGGACCUGUGCUUUCACAGGUGAAGCACUGAGGCUCCGAAAGGGAGCCAAAACUGCCCAAGGUCACACAUCCUGGAAGCGGGAUUCGAACCACAGUCUCUCAGGAUGCAGACACCCUCUGCCCUUCCCCCACUGCACCUGGCAGGGCUUCUGGUCCAUCUAAGCCUUUGGGUUGUUUUAUAGAUGGGAACACAGCAGAGAGGGGAGGGGAGUUACUCCAGGUCACCUGACAAUUAAUCCCCCUGUGUCCCCUUCACCUUGCCAACCCCCAGAAAUAGCCCCGUGCCUGCUCCAGAGGGCCCCCAAGUGAGUCCCUGGGCUCCCAGCUCACAUUGCCGGCCACAUCUGCAGCCAUGCCUGCCAGACAACAUUCCAGCCCUGGCUGGGGUCACCACAUCCCAGAGGAAGACAGGGGACAGCUGCAGUGUGCCCCCUGGCCCCCACUGGGCACCAGACCCCUGCAGAGGGGCGCAUGGGCUGGAGGUGACUUUUCACCACCCAGAGGGCCAUGGCAGCCUGUCUCUGGACACAUUCAUCACCUCCUCCCCAGAGUUCAUGGGACUUUCCUGGCUGCUGGCAGUGCUCUGGUCUCAUCAGCUCAUCUGGGACCCUUGUCCCUGCCCCCAGAGAAUAGAUGUUUAAACUCACAAGUUCUAGGCAUCUCAAAUCACUAAUCUUAUGACUCUGAAGCUUCUAAACCUAUACCUGGAAAGAAGUGACUCACAGAACAGCCAGACCUUUAGAGACAGAAGUUUCCCUCUUUUCGCUUCUUGGGGGGCACAGCCCUUUACAGUUUACAGCCAACACAAGCUCCCAUUUAUUGAGCACUCNCGCGGGGGGGGGGGGGUGCUUGUCAAAGCACUUGAAGGGAAUGAACUCAGGGUCCCAUUUCACAGAUGAGGGAACUCCACCCAGAGAGGCUGACUUGCCCAAGGUCACACACGUGGGAGGUGGCAGAGUUGAGAUUCAAACCUGCAUCAUCUGAACCUCUGACCACCAGGCUACCCUGGCCUGCAUGCUGUAAAGUAUAUUCACAGAUACUGACCUUGCAGCUUUCUGGGGAGAGCAAAGGCUGUAGUCACAGUUUUACAAGUAAGGAACCCAUAGUUCAAAAAGGUGACAUGGGAGUUCCAGCUGUGGCACAAAAGGAUUGGCAGCAUCUCUGGGCGCUGGGAUAUAGGUUCAAUCCCUAGUCUGGCAACUGUGGGUUAAGGAUCGCGUGGGUCACAACUGUGGCUCAGAUCUUAUCCCUGAGAUCUCCAUAUUCCACAGGGUGGCCAAAAAAAAUUUAAAAAAAAAAAAAAAAAAAAAAA